GAAGGUAUAGCUCAGUGGUAAAGUGUGUGCUUAGCGUGCAUGAGGUCCUGGGUUCAAUCCCUGGUACCUCCA
rnacentral:tRNA from 1 species